rnacentral:rRNA from 1 species
ACGCUCGACACCUACGGAGGCAGCAGUGGGGAAUAUUGCACAAUGGGGGAAACCCUGAUGCAGCGACGCCGCGUGGGUGAAGAAGUAUUUCGGUAUGUAAAGCCCUAUCAGCAGGGAAGAAGAUGACAGUACCUGACUAAGAAGCCCCGGCUAACUACGUGCCAGCAGCCGCGGUAAUCUGAGGCGGGCUGGCAAGGC